UGGGGAAUAUUGCACAAUGGGCGCAAGCCUGAUGCAGCCAUGCCGCGUGUGUGAAGAAGGCCUUCGGGUUGUAAAGCACUUUCAGCGAGGAGGAAGGUGAUGAGCUUAAUACGCUCAUCAAUUGACGUUACUCGCAGAAGAAGCACCGGCUAACUCCGUGCCAGCAGCCGCGGUAAUACGGAGGGUGCAAGCGUUAAUUGGAAUUACUGGGCGUAAAGCGCACGCAGGCGGUUUGUUAAGUCAGAUGUGAAAUCCCCGGGCUCAACCUGGGAACUGCAUUUGAAACUGGCAAGCUAGAGUCUCGUAGAGGGGGGUAGAAUUCCAGGUGUAGCGGUGAAAUGCGUAGAGAUCUGGAGGAAUACCGGUGGCGAAGGCGGCCCCCCUGGACGAAGACUGACGCUCAGGUGCGAAAGCGUGGGGCAGCAAACAGGAUUAGAUA
rnacentral:rRNA from 1 species